rnacentral:tRNA from 1 species
GCCGGCGUAGCCCAAUUGGGAGGAGGCGCUAGUCUUAGGAACUAGACAGUGUGGGUUCGAAUCCCUCCGCCGGUACCA